rnacentral:rRNA from 1 species
GCUACACAUGCAGUCCAGCGAGACUUCGGGUCUAGCGGCGGACGGGUGAGUAACGCGUGGGAAUAUGCCCUUCUCUACGGAAUAGCCCCGGGCAAACUGGGAGUAAUACCGUAUACGCCCUUUGGGGGAAAGAUUUAUCGGAGAAGGAUUAGCCCGCGUUGGAUUAGGUAGUUGGUGGGGUAAUGGCCUACCAAGCCGACGAUCCAUAGCUGGUUUGAGAGGAUGAUCAGCCACACUGGGACUGAGACACGGCCCAGACUCCUACGGGAGGCAGCAGUGGGGAAUCUUAGACAAUGGGGGCAACCCUGAUCUAGCCAUGCCGCGUGAGUGAUGAAGGCCUUAGGGUUGUAAAGCUCUUUCAGCUGGGAAGAUAAUGACGGUACCAGCAGAAGAAGCCCCGGCUAACUCCGUGCCAGCAGCCGCGGUAAUACGGAGGGGGCUAGCGUUGUUCGGAAUUACUGGGCGUAAAGCGCACGUAGGCGGACUGGAAAGUUGGGGGUGAAAUCCCGGGGCUCAACCUCCGAACUGCCUUCAAAACUAUCAGUCUGGAGUUCGA